CGGAUGGUUUUUCUUGUUGGGUAAAUAUAGAAAUGCUUACGUUAUAAAAAAAAUCGCAGGGUUCCCGAAUUUCCCGAUAAGAACCAACACCAACCCCACUCCCCCGCCCCCCGCUGAGCGAUGCCGUCUUGAUCGCCCCCUCCCGACCCCGGGAAAAGGGACACUACCUCUCUAUCUCAGUUGAAGAAACGAUGAUGAAACGUUAACAACGACAAGAACGGCAUUUCCUGAGUUGUCUUGUGGCCUCCGAGAUUUGCGCGCGAACCUGGGAGGCCAUAAUUGGCCGCUUAAUAGCAUAAAAAGACAAAGAUAAUGCCAAACGACGCAGUUAAAAAUUCAAAGAACUGAUCUUAGCUAUACUGUUUGGGGAAAAGGAAUAAAAAAUUAGACAGCCGCAACACACGCCACUAAAGCCGCCACCGCCGGCAUAACGCGGAACCGACAGUUGGCAACGUUCAUUCGCGCGUCAUUGCUUCGUCCGCUUCGUCUCCGCAACGAGAGCCGCCAUCUUCUCGCGCCUAACGUUUCGUAUGGUUUUGUUCUCUGCAAUCCGCGCACAUAGCUCAUCGGUGGAUGCACGUCUGCUCGGCGUCGUAAUGCGGCCUGCGUCAUUUUCUGGUGUUCGCGCAAUCGGUGUGAAACAUGUCGCAUGUGAAAUGUUUGAUAGAAGUGCCUCACGUCCAAGUCAAGCCGCCGUACGGGUGUAUGGCUGUGCGCCCCGUUCUCGGAAGCGUCGACGGGUUUCCGGCAUGCGGAUUUCAGCGUUUGGACUCGACUUUUGGUGAGGAUGUCGAUCGACCUUGGGCCUGGUGACAGCACACCCGACAUCGCCAAAGUACAGCCUAUCAGUUGAGUGCCCCCGAAUGGACCAUCAACAUCAGAAAAUGAAGCAGAGCCAGUGCAGGGGGAAAAGGUUCCGGUAACACCAUGCAUUCAGUAUGAUGGCCCAGAUGUGUAUGCAAGCAACCUCCUUCAUGUGGACCAAGAACUACUCUGCAGUGUCUCGCAGACUUCCAUGCGAAGCCCUCAACAUUCUCGUCUCAGUGGAAUGGCUGCUCAUCUAUCUGCGUGUCCAUCACCAAGACGGCCAGUUGUAAAGCUCCUGUACCCGUUUAAGAAAGCUUAAUGAUUUUUUUAUUUAGUUUUCACGGUUGGCCGUAGAAUCUUAACAUUUUUGAUGUUUCCAACAUUUUUACCUGGCACAAAGUGGUGCAAUAACUUUAAACCAGUGUAAUGUAUUUAAGUGAUUCUCACUCUAAUGCCUAUCUGGUUUUGUUUAUGUUCAGAAAUUUGAAUGUCUGAUGAGGUAACAGCAUUUGAAUUUGUCAUCGUGGCUCUUUUCAAUGAGCUGCUAGGAAAUAAGACGCAAAACUUAUCACACGCCAGUUGUAGCAUUUUUGUUUUCAUGACUGAAGUAUACUAGUUUCAAAAGAUGGAAAGUGGGGAAAAAAGCCUCAAGAACAUAAUCAUCCUAGGAUUGUCAUGUCCUUACAACUCUGCAAUGACUAAUGCCUCAUGCAUCUUGGGAGCACAUUGGUCGCAGUGCCUACAGGUAUACUUGAUAAUAGAAUAGCUUGCACUCAGAUUUGCCAUGCAGUUGAUGGCUGAUGACUUUUGUUUGUCCUCUUCAUGUUACUACUAUGUAUUCAAUAUUCAUUUAGAUGUGCUGCGGUUUCUUGCAGUCACCUAUAUAUAUAUAUAUAUAUAUAUAUAUAUAUAUAUAUAUAUAUAUAUAUAUAUAUAUAUAUGUUCUUCGUUGCAAUAAAUGUUUAGCUGAGAGUUAGCGCUCAUCCUGUCUGCUUCUAGUCUGUGUCCGUGUCACUUCGCGCUACAGUCCAAGAUAAUGUUACUGUAACAACUCGCCCAACUUUAUAUCCUUGUGUUAAAGACACACUCAGACUUGUUCUUACUUAUGUGACCGGUUAUUUUUGUGCUUUAUAAUAAGAUGCAGUGCUUUUCGAACGAAAACAUGUGAUAGUUCGUAGUGAGGUUAUUUAAAAAAACUGUUCUGCUUAAAAUUUAAUUGAGCAAGCCUGUGCCAUUAUUCGGUGCUUAUGUCUUUGUAUUGGUAUGGUUUUAGUCCUUAUCUUCCUUUUUUACUUUUAAAAUGUGCAAAUAUGAUGUAACCAUUUCUCUUUAAUGAAAUAAAUACUUCUGACAUUUUGUCACAAAUUUUACAA
rnacentral:lncRNA from 1 species